AUAUCAAUAAGCGGAGGAAAAGAAACCAACAGGGAUUGCCUCAGUAACGGCGAGUGAAGCGGCAACAGCUCAAAUUUGAAAUCUGGCUGCUUAAGGUCCCGAGUUGUAAUUUGUAGAGGAUGCUUCUGGCGUACGGCUCCGGUCUAAGUUCCUUGGAACAGGACGUCAUAGAGGGUGAGAAUCCCGUAUGUGAUCGGUUGCACCUUGCCAUCGUGAGCUCCUUCGACGAGUCGAGUUGUUUGGGAAUGCAGCUCUAAAUGGGAGGUAAAUUUCUUCUAAAGCUAAAUACUGGCCAGAGACCGAUAGCGCACAAGUAGAGUGAUCGAAAGAUGAAAAGCACUUUGGAAAGAGAGUCAAAAAGUCA
rnacentral:rRNA from 1 species